GCGAACGCUGGCGGCAGGCUUAACACAUGCAAGUCGAACGGGCCCUUCGGGGUCAGUGGCAGACGGGUGAGUAACACGUGGGAACGUGCCCUUCGGUUCGGAACAACUCAGGGAAACUUGAGCUAAUACCGGAUACGCCCUUCGGGGGAAAGAUUUAUCGCUGAAGGAUCGGCCCGCGUCUGAUUAGCUAGUUGGUGAGGUAAUGGCUCACCAAGGCGACGAUCAGUAGCUGGUCUGAGAGGAUGAUCAGCCACACUGGGACUGAGACACGGCCCAGACUCCUACGGGAGGCAGCAGUGGGGAAUAUUGGACAAUGGGCGCAAGCCUGAUCCAGCCAUGCCGCGUGUGUGAUGAAGGCCUUAGGGUUGUAAAGCACUUUCGUCCGGGACGAUAAUGACGGUACCGGAAGAAGAAGCCCCGGCUAACUUCGU
rnacentral:rRNA from 1 species